rnacentral:rRNA from 1 species
GCGCGAAAACUUUACAAUGCUGGCAACAGCGAUCAGGGAACCUCGAGUGCCAGGUUACAAAUCUGGCUGUCGAGAUGCCUAAAAAGCAUUUCAUAGCAAGGGCCGGGCAAGACCGGUGCCAGCCGCCGCGGUAACACCGGCGGCCCGAGUGGUAACCGUUCUUAUUGGGUCUAAAGGGUCUGUGGCCGGCCGGAUAAGUCUCUUGAGAAAUCUGGCAGCUUAACUGUCAGGCUUUCAGGAGAUACUGUCUGGCUCGAGGCCGGGAGAGGUGAGAGGUACUUCAGGGGUAGGGGUGAAAUCUUGUAAUCCUUGAAGGACCACCAGUGGCGAAGGCGUCUCACCAGAACGGACCUGACGGCAAGGGACGAAAGCUAGGGGCACGAACC